GGGAGACAGUUGGAGACUGUGAGGCAGGGGGCAGCGCCUUGCUGGUCCCAGGGCGGGCUGCUCAGGGAGGGCCUCACCUUCACUGUGCGAGGUCUGUACCUUCUCGCAGAGGCCCAGCACGCCCCCAUAGCACUUGCGGAGCUGGCCUAUGGUCUCGCUGGUGCGCUGCUCCAUGAGGUGCUACAGCUCCUUCGCCGUGCAGCCAAAGGCCUUGGCCAUGGCUGGUGAGUUGUUGAGGUGACCCUGUGUGCCCUUCCUCAUGUUUCUGGAGGACAUGGCACCGGCUGGGGGGCGGCAGUAGCAGGGGCAGGAUUCGGGCCCUGGAGGCCCAGGCCCCCUUCUGGUUAUGGGGGCUGAGGCUGGGCUCAGCUGGGGUCUAGGGGCGCCCCGCAAGGAGGGGAGAAGGGAGAGGUGCGGGACAGACCAGUGUUGCGGGGAUUGGCAUCCCUAGGCCCUGGACCUGGCUGACUGACUUCCUGGGAGCCAGGUGUAAACAGGAUGUACAUGUUACCAUGGCAACAUGGAACCCUGCUUGGGGUGGGGAAGGCGCAGCCAUCACACUUCCAAGACUUCCUAGUUGCUGGCUAGAAGCCUGCCACCUUUGGUACAAAGGGUCUGGAAAGUAUCCAGGGGAAGAAGAUCCAGACAUAUGCUUGUGUGACCAGAAGAGACAUACCCAGAAACAAAGCUGAAAAUGCCAAAACGGCUCUGAGGACCCAGACAAGUGAGUUUUUAUAGGACUUAAGAGAUGAGAGGGGAAAAACUUCCAUGGAAUUCUCCUGACCUGGGUUCUCAUGGCCAUGAGAAGACAAUAUGACCAUAUCACAAUGUAUUAGAAAGGUCAUAGUAUCAGAGGUCUAAAUUUGGAAGGUCCCUUAGAAGAAAUAGGCCAGUUCCCUCAUUUUACAGAUAAGAAGACUGAGGAAUAGAAAGGCUAAAGAUGUUGCCCAAAAUAGCAGGUAGUGAGGUUGCAGAAACAGAAUUUGAAUGCAGGCCCUCUGACUCCAAAUCUGGUCUCCCACUCUUCACUACCUCCUGAUCUCUAGAAGGUCACUGAGACUUACUCUGAAUGGUAUCUACCCUUUUUCUUGGAUCUCCUAUGCUCAUCACUCUCCUCUUCCCAAAAUUUCUGUCAAACAGUUUCAGAAAAAGGCCCACUCCCUUCAUAUAACACUCACUUACAAAGGCAGGUUAGUCAGACACAGAUAUGAAAGACUUCUGCCCCUUUUAUCAAUAUCCUCCAUAAUUCUGGGAACUGUUGCUGCUGGCUCACUAAAACCCUACUGACAUUCAGAACCUCUUGAGCCCUGGACCCAAAACCAGCAAGAAAAAAAAAAAGUAUGCCAG
rnacentral:lncRNA from 1 species